rnacentral:tRNA from 1 species
GUCAACAUAGUUUAAUAAAAACACUAGGUUGUGGACCUAAAAAUAGAAGUUUAACCCUUCUUGUUAACC